rnacentral:lncRNA from 1 species
CCCGCCCGCCCAGGACUGGCCCCAGCGCCCCGCGGGGGGACCCCGGCCAUCCCCUUCCCCACCGUCAUUCCAGAGGGGAUUCCCGGCCGCCGCUGGGGCCGCGGAUUUUCCCGCUGGCUACGUAGGGAGCAGGGAGGAGUCCUGCCAUGAACUUCCUUCUGGCCUGGGACGCCCGAGAUCUGAGGGGAGGGCUGAGGGCCUGGUCUCCUGGAUCUGAUCGAGGACAGGCUGGGGGUCUCCCGGGUCUGAGGGAGGAGGAGUUAGGGGCCUGAACCGCUGGAUCUGAGGGAGGAGGAGAUGGGGGCCUGGACCCCUGGGUCUGAGGGAGGAGGGGCUGGGGUCUCGGGGGACCUGAGGAUCUGAGGGAGGAGGGGCUGGAGGCCUGGACCCCUGGGUCUGAGGGAGGGGGGGUUGGGAGUCUCCCGGGUCUGAAGGAGGAGGAGUUAGGGGCCUGGACCCCUGGAUCUGAGGGAGGAGGAGCUGGGGGCCUGGACCCCUGGUUCCGAGGGAGGAGGGGCUGGGGGCCUGGACCCCUGGAUCCGAGGGAGGGGGGUGCUGGGGGCCUGGAGUCCUGGGUCUGAGGGAGGAGGGGCUGGGGACCCAGGGCCCUGGGUUACUGCGAGGGAGGAGGGACUGAGGCCUUGGCUCCUGGGUCCCCCAGGUCUGUGGGUUUGGGGAGGUGGAGGACCAGUCCUUCUGCGAGCAAAGCAUCCCCCUCCUUUGAGAGUGGCCCUAUCCCAAAAGUCCUGACUCUUGGGGCCGAUGACUCAGCAGAUGGGAGAGAGGAGGGGGACAGCCUGACUCAGGGAUGGGAAAUGCUCCCGGUCUCCAGGGAGUAGAAACUGGAAUCCCUCCUCCAGGAUUGAUCGCAGCCCGAGCUGAGCCGGGCUCCGCGAACCCAAGGAUGCCCCCAACCCCCCUUUCCCCGCCUCAAUCCUUUAAGCUGCGUAAGGAUUUGGAGAUCGGCCUAGAGGCGGGUCCCAGGUCCCCCUCCUCCCCCCUUUUUCCCCGUUGUCCUCAAGGCUCUGUUUACAGGAGACGGGAGCCCUGGUUACAGGAGAGGAACCCGAGUGUCCGGGCUGAACCUCCUCGUCACGGCUUCCAGGAAGCCCCCACUCCCCCGCCCCUUGCGAGUGAGUCACGGGCGAGCAGGAGGCCACAACCGUGCCAGAGCCGCCCGCGGCCCGCCCAGCUCACGAGACCGGCCCGGGAAGGCCCCUCAGCAAGCGCCGCACCAGGGAUUCCCCCCCGCCGCUCUCGGACGAAGCAGGUCGACGUGGAGCCUGGCAGAAUCUCCCCACCUUAAUACAAGCCCGCAGCCUGCAAGAAUGAACUUUCCACCAUUAUAACUGCGCACUGUGGCAAUGAUUUCUACCCCCACAUUUUCACUCAGGGCAUCCAGCUCUCCAGCACCCCUUAGAAAAUAGUCUUCCUAGAUCUUAAGAGGGUUUUCACUUAGGGCGACCCUUUGAUAACAAAAGAUGUGCCAGUGUGGGGAAUGAUCCUUGAAAAUGUAGUGUGAGCCACUGCGCUCAGCCCCUUUCUGUUUCUUUUUGUGAUCCUCCCAACCCUCUUCUCCCUCUGAAUCUGUCUCUGGGACUGUCUCUGUCUCCCCGUCUUCCCUCCCUUCCUCACCCUGUCUAUCUCUCUCUGUAUGUCUCUUGGUGUGUGUGUCUCUCUCGAUGUUUUUCUCUCUGCCUGUCUGCCUGUCUGUACCCCUCUGCGUCUCUCCCCGCCCCCAUCCGUCUGUGUCGCACGCGCACCCCCAUCGGGCUUCUGCUCUUGUCAAUUGCCCCUGGGGCCCUGCCCCCACCUCCGCCC